GAAACUGGCGCACGGGUGAGUAACGCGUGGGAAUCUACCCCGGGGUGGGGAAUAACCGCUGGAAACGGCGGCUAAUACCGCAUACGCCUUGAGAGGGAAAGCUUUAUGCGCCCUGGGAUGAGCCCGCGUCGGAUUAGCUUGUUGGUGAGGUAACGGCUCACCAAGGCUUCGAUCCGUAGCUGGUCUGAGAGGAUGAUCAGCCACACUGGGACUGAGACACGGCCCAGACUCCUACGGGAGGCAGCAGUGGGGAAUAUUGGACAAUGGGGGCAACCCUGAUCCAGCCAUGCCGCGUGCGUGAAGAAGGCCUUAGGGUUGUAAAGCGCUUUCGGCGGGGAAGAUGAUGACGGUACCCGCAGAAGAAGCCCCGGCUAACUCCGUGCCAGCAGCCGCGGUAAUACGGAGGGGGCAAGCGUUGUUCGGAAUUACUGGGCGUAAAGGGCGCGUAGGCGGAUUAUCAAGUCAGAGGUGAAAGCCCUGGGCUCAACCUGGGAACUGCCUUUGAAACUGAUAGUCUUGAGUCCGAGAGAGGAUGGCGGAAUUCCCAGUGUAGAGGUGAAAUUCGUAGAUAUUGGGAAGAACACCAGUGGCGAAGGCGGCCAUCUGGCUCGG
rnacentral:rRNA from 1 species